rnacentral:rRNA from 1 species
ACGCUCGACACCUACGGCAGGCAGCAGUGGGGAAUAUUGCACAAUGGGGGAAACCCUGAUGCAGCGACGCCGCGUGAAGGAUGAAGUAUUUCGGUAUGUAAACUUCUAUCAGCAGGGAAGAAAGCGACGGUACCUGACUAAGAAGCCCCGGCUAACUACGUGACAGCAGCCGCGGUAAUCUGAGCGGCUGGCAAGGC